GCACUGAUUUCCAGCUUGACCUCCCUGUGAUGCAGCCUUAUAGCCUGGCCUCUAUCUGCCUCCUCCUCUCACUCAGGUUCACACCAAGGCCCCCAGUUUGAAAAAUACGUGUGUGCUCCUGCACCUAAUGUAUGUGCAUAUUCAGUGUGACUGCAUAUGGAAAUGGAGCAUCCAUGCCAAGAGUUUUCCAGCCAAGAGGAUUUUUGCAUGUGUCUGCCUUAGAAAGGCAACAGAAGAAGGGAAGGAAAAUG